UGACGUAAUCUUGUUUUUUUCUGACUAUAAAAGAGGAGUUAAAAUAUGAGAAAACAGUCAUUGGUGAAGAACAAGUCAUCGGUGAAGAACAAGUUCAGAAGAAGAGAUCAUCUAUACCAGAGAAAAUUAUGAAUACCACAAUGAUUCCAAGGAUUUGCAUGAUUCUACUUCUGUUUUCUGUCGCUGCAGCACAGAGCUCAACCGCCGGAGCAUCAACAACAACCACAGGCGCUCCAGCGACCACAGCCCCAC